rnacentral:SRP_RNA from 1 species
CCCAGGUCCCGGGGGGCGUCAGUCCAUCAAUCCCGCCAGGGCCGAAAGGCAGCAACGGUACGUGUGACGGUCGUCGCUCCGUCAGGCCUGGGGCA